GUUAAAGCCAAGGAUCCUCCUUCAGUGAGUCCACCGUCAGCUGUGAAGAUUCAGAAAGUCUUCUGGUAGAUUCCUUGUUCCUCCGAGCAAUCGAGCACUUUUCCUCUUCCCCCUCUGAGCGCUGGGAUCAGACACAGUGGAAGAUCAAAGCCCAGAUCUUGUAUCUCAAGUAUUUAAGCAAUCUCACAGACCAAGGCUUGUGCAGUAACAAGGUCAUGAAGAUCAGCACUGGAGGCCCCACUCUGGUAAGCGUGCGGAAAUGUCUGUCUGAGGUAUGGAUAAUUCGAGUGGCACUAGAACAAGUAGCUAAUUGCAAGACUCACCGUAGGCUGAAUCCCUGGUGACUUGCAAGCAUCGUGUCCAUAACACAGGGAUGUUACGUCGGUGGCUAUGCCUUUGUAUCUCGAAUCAUGGACCCCAGCCAGUCAUCAAGAUCUCAGCUACAUUGUGGCCUUUUAUUUACAUGCCUCAGAGUCUGUGUGUUUAUUUUAAUAUAAUUUAACGACCAUAUUGACAUUGCCCCCAUCACGAGUAUAACCAUUUGGACAA